AUAUGCUAAUGAGCCAGGAGGCUUUAAGAUCCGAACCCCUGAAGGCUAAGUCCAACGUCCACAUGACCUUAAGGGUAGCGCAAACUUCAGAGGAUGGGCCGCUAAGGAGACGCCAGACUUUGGUGUCUUCAUCCAGAGUGAAGACCAAGCGUACACAGGGUAGAGGACAGGUUGGGGACCAGACAACGGUAGCCGUUGGUCUUGAGCCCUGGACAGGAUAUCAUCAUAUACUGUAAGUUCAUUAUGGAGACACUACAGUAUAGAUGAUGUACUAUCCAGGGUAUCAUUCUCCGUCAGAGGCCCUUGGAAUGAACUUAGCUCACCCGGAGCGGCAGGACCGCCUGAUGGAGGGAGGCAGUGAAACCGUUACCAUUACUGAGUUUUUAGCAAUGGUAAGGGUUCCCCGGCCUUCACUCAAACCCUUCUGGCUCGAACCACGGAUCACUGAAGAAGCUGGAUGAAGAUCCCUUUAAGUUAACAGCUAGCCUAAUUCAUCAACUAAAUAAUUGAUGCCUCGUUAAACUGUAUCCCAUCUUGUAAGUAGGCUAUAAAUAUAGUUGACAUGUAUGGUUAUGCCGACAACUAAUCAAUAAAAAAGUGUGCAUUCUUUCCAAAA